CGUAUGCUUGCACAAUUUGAUGAAGGGAAGGGUCGACACGUGGGACAAUCUCGUGGUUUAAAGACAUGGGGAUGGCCCAUGCUUCUAUCCUCAGCUUCUUGCUAACUGGCUCGUCUCCAUAAAGAAAAUUGUAAGAAGUUCCUCCGAUUCCCUGCUGCUUCAACUGUUUCUCUAUGAUUUUGGGCUUCCACCAUAGAGAAAAGACAAGUUUUAGGGCACAAAAGGAAGCUAAAAGAGCCGAAAAGGAAGCCAAUAUGGCCAUAAAAUUGAAUGCUUCCAUGGAGCUGAUUUCUUUCCCGAUGGCUGCAGCUUUGGAUGCUACUGAGCUUUGCUCACUGCUUCAUUCAAUUUAUAGAGUUCUGUUGCAAAGAUUAACCACAUAGCUAGGGACUGAACUGAAAAGAUUAAAAAAGGAUUGGAGAAGAAGUUAAAGUGGUGGCUGUGAUUUGUUGUGAAUUGGACUGAUGGGACAUGUAAGCCAAUUGCAUUGCAUGAAAUUUUGGCACCUCUCCUUCCAUUGAGACAAUUAUUUGGCCCAUUUCUCUCCUUCCAAGGUUGAGACUCCCAGCGUUAAAAGGUCCACAAGAGGGUUCUGUGGAGGCUUUUGGAAGUGACCAUCCUUGUCAUUCAGUAUCAGCCUUAUCAGCUCUGCCUUCCCCAUUAUCAGUCUCGGCCUUGUUCCAGUCCAACUCAGCACACUUUUCCUAUUUUAGCAAACCAAGCCACCAUUAAUCACAAUUCAAUGGAGCCAUAGUUUUUAUUUUUCUUGGCAGAUGUAAUUGUCGAGCUUGUAAUAACAUGCUGAAGUUCUACUAUUUUUCAUUUGGCAUGGUACAUUUCAACUUAUUGUCCACACAAGAUUUCGCAUGCAAAUAACUAAAAAGUUUCACCCUCAUAACUGUCUAUGUAAAUUAAUUGUUAUUUAUUCCUUUUAAACACAGAAUAAUAUCCUUAGUUUUAUAUAACCAGAUUUGUGUCACACUAUCUAUAAGGUCGUGUAUCAUAUAAUAGCUUCUAGAUUUGUUCCUCUUAUAGUAAAUUCUUGGAUGUUGAAAUGGGAAGAUCCAUGAAAAGUUACUCCUAAAGGGCUAGAGAAACUUUCAGUACUUAAUGAUUGUGGAAAAAAAGACAGAAGAAGAAUCCAAGAAUGGAAAAAAGUUGAUCAGACCGUAUGCUUGCACAAUUUGAUGAAGGGAAGGGUCGACACGUGGGACAAUCUCGUGGUUUAAAGACAUGGGGAUGGCCCAUGCUUCUAUCCUCAGCUUCUUGCUAACUGGCUCGUCUCCAUAAAGAAAAUUGUAAGAGGUUCCUCCGAUUCCCUGCUGCUUCAACUGUUUCUCUAUGAUUUUGGGCUUCCACCAUAGAGAAAAGACAAGUUUUAGGGCACAAAAGGAAGCUAAAAGAGCCGAAAAGGAAGCCAAUAUGGCCAUAAAAUUGAAUGCUUCCAUGGAGCUGAUUUCUUUCCCGAUGGCUGCAGCUUUGGAUGCUACUGAGCUUUGCUCACUGCUUCAUUCAAUUUAUAGAGUUCUGUUGCAAAGAUUAACCACAUAGCUAGGACUGAACUGAAAAGAUUAAAAAAGGAUUGGAGAAGAUGUUAAAGUGGUGGCUGUGAUUUGUUGUGAAUUGGACUGAUGGGAC
rnacentral:lncRNA from 1 species